GAAAUACACUGACUUUUUGAAAUUACGCACCAUGAAACCCCUUCACCUUGUGUUCAGUUAACUUUCUUUCAAAUGAUUAUGAGCUUCAGUCUGGUUUGGACAAAUCAGGUUUUGAAGUGAGAUCCCCGAAGUGCCAAGAGGACAACUGCAUUCAUGUGUGUAGUGAGUUGUUGGAUUAUUUAGCUAAAAUAUGGAUUAUCAUUUUAUUACUACUUCUGCUGGCUUGGGUGGCAAAGAUUAGAUCUGCGUCAAGAGGCCCUACCUCAUUUUAGGGCAACGGGUGUUCAUCACUUUAUGUAACGGCCGUAACGUUUAGUUUUGCCUUGAAAAUAACAUAUAGGGAACUUACUGUACAGCGUGCUCCACUUGAAAAAAGAAAACCCCUUUUUUUAAAAAGACUUUUAUGGUCUCGAUAUUGUGAAAGCAUAGUUUUUUGUCUUGAAAGACUAAGGAUUUUGUGAGUACUUUGUUUCAUAUUGUAUAUAUGUAAGCUGAUUUGAAUUCAAGAAUGAAAGACACUGUAGAUCUGUUAGAUAACUGUAACUAUAAGGAAGACAUCUUUUGUGGUAAUACUUGCAACAAGACUCUCUUUAUUUUUCCGGAUUUGCAUACUAGCGUGUUUCAUUCUGAAAAAGAGCUACCAAAGGAGUUUUGAUCAUGGCAUAAAUGAGAAUGUAACUGAGCAAUAUUUUUUUCUUGAGACAUACCAUACUGAGUUUAUGUACUACAAGGUUUGUGCAUCAAUUAAGAGGCCACCACCUCUUCUUAAAGUAAACAUUGCUGAGAGUUGGCAUCUUGUGGAUUUACAUCUGAAAGUCCUUAUUCUGUCACCUGGUGUCAUUAAUUAUAUUACAUUCUUCCGAAUUAUUUUUGUUCCCUUUGUGUUUAGAAACUAAACACAUUUAGUUUAUUGUAUUUAAAGCGUAUUUAAUAUUGUAAUUUAAUGUAGACUUAUUUUAAUAUUUGAAUCUUCAGUUAAUGCAAAUAAAAUCUUUGAUGCAUAUUAAAUAUUAAUUUCUUAGCCUUUG
rnacentral:lncRNA from 1 species